UUGAUAAAAAGAGGGUUUAAUUUGAGUGCUAGUUAAUAUCAUAUCAAAUUUUGGCGCCGUUGCCGGGGAUUAGCAACUUUGCUAAUCCCUUGGAUUGUUAUUUUCGUUUUUUUUAUUAGAUCAGAUUCUUAUGUUAUUGAUGUGAAAAAUAAGUUAACACACAAAAUUAAACCCUCUUUUUAUCAAUUGUAGCAAAGUAUGUAAAUAGGGAUCGUUCUAGACCGGGGAUUAGGAGGGAUUGCUAAACACUUGAAAACUGACUUAGAAAUGUAAAAACAAAGUUAAAGCACUAGAUUAGACUCAAAGAAUGCAAAACUCACGUUAAAAUACUAAAACGAACCAAAAGAAUCAAAACAGCAACCAAACACUCAAAACUGCCUAAAAACCACUUUUUGGGCAGUUUUGGGACUCUAACUCAACUUGGACGAAUUUUGGUUUCCUAGUGACCUAAAACACCUAAAAACAUAAACCAACACACUUUCCAAUUAAUCUAGGAAUUCAAAAUAAUUGGGGAUUUGAUUUGGACGAAAAUAAACUUAAAUGGCAGAUUGUAAGAGAAACAGAUUGUAAGACAAAGUUAUGAAGAAUCAAUGGAUGAUGGAAUGGCUAAGGGGUUCUUCUCCACACAUGAAAUAUAUGCAACGUAAAAUCAAUUUCCAGUUAUCAAUUCAAUAAAGUUAUGAACCUCGACACUCCAAGUUAAUUAGGUCCGCUUAAAUUAACCUUCAGAUUUCCCUAGGAUCAUUGAAUUGGAUGAAUAUGCAUCGCAAACAAAUUAUUCCUAACAAUUCUUUAUAUGAACAGCAUGAUAAAGACACAAGUUAGAAAUCAUUACGUUCUUUGGAAAUCAUAAGCAUCGACAAGGCAUUCGUAACUAUGAAAAGCAUGAUACUCUUGCCAGGAAAUCUACUUAACACGAUCGUGACUAGCGACCUUCACUACUUACGAAUAUAAAUUCAUAACGAUUAGGUGAAACAAAUUUAUAUCCUAGCAUCAAAUUCAAGCAUGCAAAUUAAGCGUGCACUCUCAAUCAACAUACAAGAAUAAGUUCUAAAUCAAAUGGUUAAGCAAAUUGUAUUCACGACUUAUGUAACAAUAACUGGAAAUAAUAAACUCAUUUCACAUAUAAUAAUCAUGGUUUUUGAAUACACCCUUAGCCAAAAACGAAAUUAGCCAAUCAUACUUAAAGCAAAACAAAGAUUACAUGAAUUAGACAUUAAAAUCCAAAGAAAGAAAACACCUAGAAUGCUCCAACUUGGCAGCAAGUGCAAUCCAAGAUUCCUCAUUUCCCUUGCUUGCGGCAGAUUGGGUUAUGGACAGGUUUUGGGUAGUUUUAUGGUGUAGAUGGAUGGAAAUGGUAUGGAAAGGUUUAGGGUGAGUGUGGAGGAGUGUUUGAUGGUUGGAGGGUGGUGGAGAACUCGGCAAAAAGGGUGGAAGAGGGUGGAGUGGCUGUUAUGUUUUCUGGGCACUAGAAUGGUGUUUUUGGGGUGUUUUGCUGCCUAAGGUGAGUAUGGACGAAUUUUCUGCAUGAAUGAUGAAUAUGGUAAGUUCAACCCUUUGCCAAGGGUUGUAAACAUGUAUAAAUAGGCCCCAAAAACCCUAGAGAAUCAGAUUAGGCAGUGGGGAAAUGCACACCAAGGAGGGUGAAUUUGUGGUGUGCAAUGGUCCAAGGAUGAAAAUGGAGCAAUGAUGCAAAGUAUGGAGGGUAAAAUGGAGUGGUAUUUCGGCUAGGGAGCAUGAAUGAUUGUGUUCAUUGCAUGGAAAUGAAAAGGGGAGGUGAAAUGUUUUAGAAAUUAGUUAAAGGUGCAGCAACAUGUGUUGCACAAGGCAUUGGAUCCCAAAUGUGGAUGAUGGAGCAUCAAUUGGUGCAUGGAAUGGUUGUGAAAGUAUGUGUGAAAUCUGAUGGGUGAAGGGAACAAGAGGUAUGCAGCAAUUGAGUGUGAUAAUUGAGUGUAGUCAAGGAUUUAAAUAUCGAUAAUAUCGGCGAAAUAUCGCCGAUAUUAUCGUUUUUUUGAAGAUCCGAAAUUUUUUUAACUAUCCAAAUGAUUUUCGUCAAAAUAUUGCGAUAUUAUCGAUAAUAUCGCGAUAUUUUCGAUAUUUUUGAUAAAUAUCGAUAAUAUCAUAACAUAAUACUAAAAAAUACUUAAAUAUGUUGAGAAAACUCAAAACAUACUUCACUUGAUCAUAGCCCAAAGGCCAAUCAAGCUAGGAUUUUCUCAGCUGGGGGAAAUGUGAUUUUAUAGGAAAAAUUGCUUGCUACUGCCCUCACAUGGGCGAUGUGGGACUCCCAAUGGGAGAGAAAAUCAGAAUUUUGGCCAAAUUUUACACCCACUUUAAACGGCCAUAACUUUGUCAAAACUCAACGAAAUCAAGCAAGAAAAAAACGAAAGUUGUAGCCCUCGAAGAGACGAAGAGAAUGGUACCUCACACGACGUCUAAAUCGUCGUGGUUUGGCCGGAAAAGCCUCGAAAGUCCACUGAGAUCGGCGGAAACUGGGUAAGAUUCAAAUGAGUAUAACUUUUUUAAUACUCAACGAAAUUGAGUGAAACAAAAAGGAAAGUUGUACUACUCGACGAGAGGAAGAGAUUAAUACCUUGCACGCUGGCCAACUCGCCGUGGUUUGGCCGGAAAUUUCCUCGAAAGCCACUGUGGUCGCCGGAAAUUGGGUAAGAUUCAAAUGAGUAUAACGUUUUCAAUACGCAACGACAUUGAGUGAAACAAAAAGGAAAGUUGUAGCCCUGGAAGAGACGAAGAGAAUGGUACCUUACACGACGUCUGACACGUUGUGGUUUGGCCGGAAAUUGCCUCGAAAGCCACUGAGGUCGCCGGAAUCUGGGUAAGAUUCAAAUGAGUAUAACUUUUUCAAUACUCAACGAAAUGGAGUGAAACAAAAGGGAAAGUUGUACUACUCGACGAGACGAAGAGAUUGAUACCUUGCACGCCGGCCAAAAUUCAAUUGACACACUCCUGGCUUCCAAAAUUCAAUUCUUUUACUUUAUAUAAACUUGAAAAAACAUAACCGGCAUCCAAAUUAAAGUUUAGUCUUAUUCUUAUGUGUAAGAAAUUUAAAGUAUCAAAUUCGGCACAUUAUUCUUCAUCAUUUUAUUCAACUUCCUUUUUUUUUUAAUAUCCUAAAUAAAACCUCAAAUAUUGUACUAAUUAAUUAUAUAUAAAUGAUUAUGGUGUGUUUAAACUUCUUUCAUUAAUUACUACAUAUUUUCUAUACUCACAAUGUUUGCCAGCUCGCUAUAUAAUCAACUUAAAUCAGUUAAAUCCAUCAUGCAAUGCAUUUCCUUCCAAUUUUUUGUGAUAAACUAAUAGAUAUUGACUAAAUAAACAUCUACAAAAGUUUCAUUAAAAAUUUCCAAGUUUUUCUUACAAUUUCCGUGGUUCCAUGUAAUUUUUAUCGAUAUCGAUAUUUUACCGAUAUUUCCAUCGAUAUUUUCGUGUUUUCGGACUACCGAUAUUUCCGAUAUUACCGAUAUUUUCUUCCUUGAGUGUAGUGAGGCAUGAAAUCAGAAAUAUUUUAGGGGACAAGGAUGAUUAAGCAUGCAUGGGAAUCCAAAGGGAAGCUAUUGUGAUUGCAUGGCAAGGAUGUGUGUCCUUUUGUGGCUGAGUUCAUGAUCCUUUGUACACUAAUUCUUCACAUUCUUAGCCUCCUUAAGUCUUCAAUUUCGUCCAAACCUUGGUUCCAAAUAUGUGACAUGCAUUCCAAGCUCCAUUUUGCUCCAAAAAUGCUCCAAAAUGCAUCUUCUUGCUACUUGUCCUUAAAUCUGAAAACACAUGAAAAUGACUUUAAACAUUAAAAUAACUAAGGAAACACGACAUAAAUGCACAAGAACAAGCCAACUAAGUCACAUAAAUAUGCUCCUAUCAGUUAUUUUGUUUCUUGUUUUAGGUACUUGUUUAUGACUCGGAGUUCUAAUCCGGUUCACGAACAUAUUUUAGACUUUGACGACGAUUUUGAGGCGUGAGUUGAGACGAAAGAGGAAGAACCCGGAACCUAGUGAAUCAAGUGCAAGUUCCGAGUCCGUUUCUGAAUUUGAAGAGGAAGUGGAAGACAUGGCAGCGGACAACCAAACGAUCAAGGAGCUUUCCGCUUAGGGAUUGGAUAAUGCCGAACCUCUAUGUAUCAAAUACCCUAAGGGCGGCUCCGAACAAAACUGCCGAGUUGAUUGAAGUCAAGCUUGUUAAUCACAUUCCGAAGUACUGGGCUGCCAAUGGAAGAUCGAACAAGCACUUGAAGGAGUUUUGAAGUCGUUUGCUCAAGCAUGACUCCGGUGAACGUGGAUGAGAGCAUCUUGAAGAUGAAGACCUUUCCUUUUCUCUAGAGAAGGCGAAAAUUGGUUGUACGAAUUGGCUCCCGAACUGUCACAUCAUGGGGAGCAUGAAACGAGCUUUCUUAAGAAGUUUUUCCCAACUUCUCGAGUCAUCCUCCUACGCAAAAGGAUAAGGUGGCAUUCAAACAAAUGAAGGUGGAAUCCUUCCUACUUAUAUGAACGUUUUAAAUCUCUUGUUGCUUCAUGUCCACAGCAUCAAAUGAAGGAGGAACUACUUCUACAAUACUUCUACGAGGGACUUCUACCAAUUGAACGUCCAAAUGCUAGAUGCCUCAGGGGAGGAGCAUUGGUGGACAAGACCUCUACGGCUGCAAAGAUGUUGAUUGCUAAUCGAGCGUUGAACGCUCAACAAUACGAAGGUGUGGACAAAGGAGCAUGCCAUGGCAACAUCAAGUCAAUGAGGUAAAUGCCAAAACCGAACUUCAAAAUCAAAUGGCUAACCUACUACGUUGCUUUUCUCAGGUGGUGGAAAGUCCAAAAGUCAAACCCGUAGCUUCUUGUGCGUAUGCUCCAUGCAAAAACCACCAUACGGACAAGUGCUACAAUGAUCGAGAAGGAGGGUGGGAGACACUCAAUGCCGUGGGAUAUGGCAACCAAUACCAAAUCACGUGGUGAUUCCGUUUUCUAAAUACUUACAAUCCCCGGUUGGCAUGAUCAUCCGAAUUUUAAAUGGCAAGACCCCCAACAAGGCCAACAACAAAGCGGGUUUAGGCAACAACCCCCGGGUUUCUAUCAAAAGCCGUUGGCACCACCACAAGCCCAAGCACAACCUGCCCAAAGCAAUGCAGGUAAUUCAAGUGAUAAUGAUAAGAUUUUUCAAUUACUUACUACUUUGACACAGGAAGUCCAUGCUCAAAACAAAGAGAGGCAAAUCUGAUAGGAGCAUUUUUAUGCGACUUAAUUGGCUUGUUCUCAUGCAUUUAUGUUGUUUUUCCUUGGUUAGUUUAGUGUUUAAAGUCAUUUUCGUGUAAUUUCAGGUUUUAUUGUCAAAGUAUGCAAAAAGGAGCAUUUUGGAGCUUUUAGGAGCAAAAUUGGGCUUGGAAUGAAGUGCAUAUGCAUGGAGCAAGGAGUUUGGAUGAAAUUGAAAAUCAAAUGAGGCUAGGAAGGUGCUAGAAGACAUAAGAAAUCAGCUUGGAAGCUUGGAAGACAAAGAAAAACACAAAUUGAAGCAUUCCUACAAAGGUGGCACCAUGUCCCCUUCAUGUUCCCUUCUUGUCCCCUCCUUGUCUCCCUUGUUGCAACAAUUCUCCUUGUUAUGUGUCCUUAUCCUUAAACCUUGUAAACACAUUUCCUUUUCCCUCUAGGACAACCUAAAAUCCAUUCCCCUUAGGAUUAGGACCUUGCCGCACCUUUUCCACACUCCAUCUUUCCUUGCCGCACAAGGAUACCCUUUCCCUUUAGUUUUAGGACAUCUACCCUUUCCUAAACCCUUUUGCCGUGACUUUAUGUUGGUUCCCUGACCCUUAUUCUUCCUUGCCGUGCAAGGACGAGGAUUUUUUCCCAAUUUCUGAACCUAAUCUCCUUUUCCCUUGUUCUUUUACCCUUUGCCGCACCCCUUAAACCUUUUCCCUUAGGUUUUUGGUUUUAAUUUCCUAUUUCCUUUAAGUUUUAGAUUAUUUCCUGAUUCCUAAAUUAUUUUGGAGCCUUGUUCUAUAAAUACCAAGCCUUGCCAUAGCUUUAGGGGACAAUUCAUCAAUUCACACAACCUUAAACACUUUCACAAACUUUCAGCCAAACACUACACCUCGCCGUGCCCAUCCUCCAUACAAUUCAUAAUCCCUGAUCCUAAAACUCAUCCCAACCAUUCUAUCCACCUUUGUGCCGUAGCAAGGAGAAAGAAGGAAGGACUCUUGGAUGCUCAAGCUUCAUCGUUGGUGCAUUCUAAGUGUAAUUCGUUUUAUGAUUUCAAUGUUUAACUUAUUUUCCUUUCGUUUUGCUAUGAACAUGAGUGGCUAAACCCCUAUUGGUUAGGGGUGAUUUCGAAGCCAUGACUAUGUGUGCAAGUUGAUUUGAUAAAUUCCAGUUAUGAGUUCUUGAAUCGUGAAUGCAAUUGGCUUAACUGUGCGAGUAAUAACGUAUUUGUGUUUGUUAAUUAGGGGUCGACACGUAAUUGGCUUGCAUGAAUAUGAUGCUAGAAUAUAAGUUUGUUUCACAUAAUCGUCACACACUUAUAUUCACAAGUAGUGAAGGUUGCUAGUCACAAUCGCGUUAAGUUCAAUUCCUAGCAUAAGUGUCAUGAUGUAAUAGUCACAAGUGUUUUGUCAAUGCUUAUAGUUUUCAUUGAACGUAAUGAUCUUUGAUUGUAUCUUUAUUAUGAUGUCAUGUAGGGAACUUUUGAAGAAUGCUUUGGGUUGUCGAAUGAUGUCAUCCAAUCCAAUAACACAAGGAAAACUUGAGAAUUAACUAGUGAUGUCACGGUUAAUUUGGGGCAUUUUCGUCAUAAUUCAAUGAAGGAAUAACUGGAAAUCGAGUCGUUUGCAUACUUGUCAUGUGUGAAGAAAGAGCCUCUAACUAAUCCAUCAUCCAUUUAAACCCCAAAAUCGUUUUCAAAUCUGUUCUUACUUUGCAAUCUGUUUUGUUAGUUUAUUUUCGUCCAAAUCAAAUCCCCAUUUAUUUUGAAGUCCUAGAUUAGUUAGAAAGUGUUUUGGUUUAUGUUUUUAAGUGUUUUGGUACAAGUUAAAACCCAAAUUCGUCCAAUUUGGUGCUUUGUGUUCAAAACUGCCCAGAAAGUGUUUUUAAGGCAGUUUUGAGUCUUUUGGUUGCUGUUUUGAGUUUUUGGUUUGUUUUAGUGUUUUAAACUUUAGUUUUGCAUUCUUUGAGUCUAAUCUAGUGUUUUAAACUUUGUUUUUACGUUUCUAAGUCAGUUUUCAAGUGUUUAGCAAUCCCUCCUAAUCCCCGGUCCAGAACGAUCCCUACUUACAUACUUUACUACAAUUGACAAAAAGAGGGUUUAAUUUGUGUGCUUAUAUAUUUACGCAUCAAAAUCCAAGACAAGAGGGUGCACAACUUGGAGAAGCAAGUGGGACAAAUUGCCGAGUUCAUGGGGCAAUUUCGUGAGCAAGGAAGGUUGCCUAGCUCAACGGUGGUAAAUCCGAGGGGAGGAGUCGAAACUGCCAAAGCUAUCACGCUAAGAAGUGGGAAAGAAGUAGGAACCGAGCCAAAACCAUCCAAAUCUGCCCUCAAGGAGGAUGAGAAGUUGCAAAUAGAAGAAGAGGAGCAAGCAAAGGCCACGGCAAGGAUUGAGCAAUCCUUGCCGCAACCACCCAAGCCAUCCAAUUCGGCCAAUAAGGGUAAGGAAGGUACAAUUCAAGUUAAUUCUAAUGUUAUUCCUCCGGAUGUACCCUUUCCUAGCAGAUUUUUGCAAGCCAAGAACGAAGAAGAGGAGAAAGAUGUUCUCGAGACAUUUAGGAAGGUGCAUAUCAAUAUCCCACUCCUUGAUGCUAUAAAGCAAAUCCCGAAGUAUGCCAAGUUUUUUAAGAAGCUCUGUAUAACAAGGAAACGGAUUCGGGAGAAAGAGGUGGUACACGUAAGUGAGAAUGUAUCUGCAUUGUUGCAAAGAAAGUUACCACCUAAAUGCAAAGAUCCAGGUAGUUUCACUAUCCCUUGUGUUAUUGGCAAUACGAGGUUUAAUCAUGCUAUGUUAGAUUUAGGUGCAUCUAUAAAUGUCAUGCCAUAUUCUGUUUAUGCAUCUAUGAAUAUAGGAAAGCUUAAAAAUGAUGGAGUUAUUAUUCAAUUAGCCGAUCGAUCUAAUGCACCCAAAGGAGUGUUGGAAGAUGUUUUGGUGCAGGUAGACCACUUGAUUUUUCCUGCAGAUUUCUAUGUGCUUGAUAUGGAGGAUUCAACCCACUCUCCACCAUCACCACUCUUACUUGGACGACCAUUCAUGAAAACAGAUCAAACCAAGAUUGACGUGGCCAAGGGAGCAGUAACUAUGGCCUUUGGUGGUGAUAUGAUUAACUUUAAGAUUUCUGAAUCGGUUGAGAAUACUGAUGAUGUUCGUUCUUGUUGUGCUAUUAAUGUAAUUGAAAAUAUAGGUCCGGGAUGUUCAACACUAGUCAAGAAGAAUGUACCACAACCCACUAUCGAGGAAGGAAUUGGAGUGAACAACAAAGAGUGCACGGCCCCAACCUUGAAAUCACCAAAUCUGGCCAAGUGCACCCCUUGUGCAUCUGUCCGUAGUGCUACCACUUCUUUGCCGUACAAAGGUAAGUGAUGUGAAAAUUAUGUUGACACUCAAAUUAACCCUCUUUUUAUCAAUUGUAGCAAAGUAUGUAAGUAGGGAUCGUUCUAAACCAGGGAUUAGGAGGGAUUGCAAAAUCACUUGAAAACUGACUCAAAUAUGUAAAAACAAGUUUAAAACACUAAACUAGACUCAAAGAAUGCUGAUAGGAGCAUAUUUAUGCGCCUUAGUUAGCUAGUUCUUAUGCAUUUUCGUUAUGUUUUCUUAGUUAAAGUAGUCUUUUGAGCUACUUUCAUGUGUUUUCAGGUUCAAAGGGCAUAUGACAUAAAAGAUGGCAAAAUGGAGCAUUUUAGAGCAAAAGUGAGCUUGGAUUGAAAAGUACAUGCUUGGAACAAGGAAUGGACGAGUUUGAAGGUCGAGGGAGCUUAAGAAAUGAAGAAAUGAAAGUAAAGAACAAAGAAGUCGGAAUU
rnacentral:lncRNA from 1 species